rnacentral:tRNA from 1 species
CGGGAUGUAGCGAAGCUUGGUAUCGCGCUUGGUUCGGGACCAAGAGAUCGCAGGUUCAAAUCCUGUCAUCCCGACCA